CGCUAGUGGCGGUCUAUAUAGCACCCGCGGGGGGACAGGGGUGUCACUUUCCAGAAGGACAGUCGGACAGCCAGCCAGCCGCAUCAACCCCCCUCAGUCAGGAUGUCUAUCACUAAGAUCCAUGCCCGGGAGAUCCUCGACUCCAGAGGAAACCCCACCGUGGAGGUGGACCUCUACACCGCCAAAGGCCGUUUCAGGGCAGCCGUGCCCAGCGGUGCCUCUACCGGUGUCCAUGAGGCUCUGGAGCUGAGAGAUGGAGACAAGUCACGCUAUCUGGGAAAAGGUAUCAUUAAGGCAGUAAGA